CUGCCCCGGUCAUCAUGGAAAUCUGGACUGACUGAACUGCAUCCUUAUUUCCAAGUGUGGAUAUUGCACAGCCAGACCCUGACUUUCAGAGAGGCUUCACCACCAUUUUUUACCAAUACUGGGUUGGAAAGCCCUUGAGAGGUGUAGUCACAGUUUUCAAUUUCAGAGAGAAGUUCUUGUUGAUGAACACACUGUUGUAUUCCCCAGCUGUAAUCAGGAUGCAGUUUCCUCUCCAGAAGUUCACCAACAGCAAGGAUCAACAAGAAGCUGAAGCAUCCUGACAGAGGAAGCAUUCGCUCCUUGGCACUGCAGUGGCUCUCCCUUUCCUGGUGCUCUCCUCAGGAACUGCCCUGGUUCCAAGCAGCACCUUCACUGUGUUUCCAAGCAGAGUGAGUCAUGAGAGCAACACUUCAAUUCCUGUUUCAUGAGCUGAGCUGACUCCAUAGAUGUGAACAGAGCUGCUGGGAACACAGGACCUGCUGCAAACAUAUUCCUACUCAAUAACCAGCAACUUUAACUUUGUAGUGCCUCAGAUUUAUUAAUAUUUUCAGGGUUUUUUUUCCUAUGCUUCUGGUUGUGAUAAAUUUUAUUGACAGUGAGCAGGAAUUUAUUAUUGUUUGCUGAUGGCUGGGCAAAGUAUUCAGCAGGGGUAAGGCUGAGACAUGGAAAUAAGGCUGGGCAAGGACUUCUGAUCUACAGCUGCCUCUAUCUGCUGCUGCACUCCAUGUACUCACUUUUGAAAGCCUGGAAAGUUCUAUCAUGGGAUAAGUGACGUUUUCUGACUCCAUUCCUGCAGUGAGGAGGCACCACAACCUCAGUUCUCUGUUGAUUGAAGACUUUCUCCUACUUUGCAUUGCAAAUAUAUGUAUAAUAUGACUAAUUCAAACCCACUGGCUUUUUCCUGCUUUUUUUGUUCUCCAAUUUUCCCUUUCACUGAAAUACUGUUUGCUUCCCCCAGGCCUUGAGGCCAGUAAAUUCACUCCCAGUGAACAGGUUUUCUUGGAGCUUCAGCUAAACUGAA